rnacentral:rRNA from 1 species
AUUGAACGCUGGUGGCAUGCCUUACACAUGCAAGUCGAACGGCAGCGGGGGAGAAGCUUGCUUUUCCUGCCGGCGAGUGGCGAACGGGUGAGUAAUACAUCGGAACGUGCCCUGUAGUGGGGGAUAACUAGUCGAAAGAUUAGCUAAUACCGCAUACGACCUGAGGGUGAAAGUGGGGGACCGCAAGGCCUCAUGCUAUAGGAGCGGCCGAUGUCUGAUUAGCUAGUUGGUGGGGUAAAGGCCUACCAAGGCGACGAUCAGUAGCUGGUCUGAGAGGACGAUCAGCCAACCUGGGACUGAGACACGGCCCAGACUCCUACGGGAGGCAGCAGUGGGGAAUUUUGGACAAUGGGCGAAAGCCUGAUCCAGCAAUGCCGCGUGUGUGAAGAAGGCCUUCGGGUUGUAAAGCACUUUUGUCCGGAAAGAAAUGGCUCUGGUUAAUACCUGGGGUCGAUGACGGUACCGGAAGAAUAAGGACCGGCUAACUACGUGCCAGCCGCCGCAGUAACAC